GUCGGUGGUAGUUCGGCAGUGAAUUUUCCCAGGCCCUGCUGCAGGUUACAGAGCUGUGUCUGGUAUCCCUUGAGCGCCGCACAUAUGUGGUCUCGUCCAAUUCAGUGGAUUCACUAAUUACUCUGAAGAAAAAGAAGCAAAGCCAAACCAGAGAUCAACAAGAAACACAGCAGCUGUAUACUGGAAGCUUUUAAAAAUACAGUGCCUGAACACCACCUCCAAGAGACUGUUUCUCCCUAGGUUUUGAGUGUUUGCAUUGGGUAAGAUACAUGUGACACAUGUCCCUUUGAUGGAAAUUAUAACCAUGAAAUCAGUGUCUACUAUACAAACUCAACAGAACAGCUUUAAAUCAUUUGCUGCAAAGAUGCUGGACAAGGAAUUGCCUUGAGAUAUUUAUGGAUCAAACAAUCUGGCAUUUGUUUGUUGGCUUUUACUUUUGUUUGUAUUUAGAUAAAUACUCAUGAAUGAUGAAGUUCAAGAACAAGCCAAUUGAUUAUCUCAGGUAGGAAAAACACAACUGUCAAUUUUUUUUUACAUGAUGUGAUUUGGCCAAAUAGGAGGUUGGCUGAAGGAUCCUCUACAAAUGUUAGUUAGGCUAUUUUUAUCCUUAUUCCUAAUUGAUGCUACUGUCUUGUGUAUUGUUACCAGAAUAUUAAAUACUUCGACAGAACUACCAGCCUAUCAGUUGAAACCACAGGUGAUUCUAUAUCAAAAGGAAAUUGAAGUGACUGAUAAAAAUACAACAACAAAGAAAUCCAGUGAGAAUGAUACUGAAAACAGUGUGGAGCUGUAGAACUGAAACCUGAUAAUUGUGCUAUUUUUGUGGUCACACCAUCAUUUUAAGAAAAGAAAGGACCAAAAAGAGGGACAGUAGAUGGAAAGUAUUUCAUUUACAGCAACACUUACUUAGAAGAUAAUAAAACUGAAUUCUGUCUCCCCUCAGCUAAAUCUGUUAAAGAACCAUGGACUUUAAUGACCUCAUCAGGCCAAAAACUUCUAGGAUUCAACUCAAGAAUUUACCUUGGCCUCUGAAAAGGGAACCUCUUUUAAUUAAUCAUGUAACAGUUCUAUGGAUCCAUUCUAUUCAGACUGCUAACUUUCAAUCCUGGAUGAACAGCCACAAUAAAACAUUUAUUUUCCUUUGUAACAUUCUAAAACGUGAAAUUUUCCUAUCAAUGAGCAGCAAUUCAGGAAGUUUUUUCAAUGGUAUGUACAGCAUAUAACAAAUUCAGCUUUUUUUUUCCUUAAGCCCUAGUAGUUUUUUAUGUUAGAAACAAAACAAUAUUUUAUAUGAAAACCGUGAUUCUGAUGAUAGAAAUCCACUAUGUUAAAUGAUUUUAUUACUGAAAGGACAAAAAUAUAAGAAAAUAUAUAAAGCUUUCAACCUAAGUUAGAAAAAAAUAGCAAAAAUAAACAGUCAUAAAUAAAUUUCAAGUAAAACAGACAGUGAAAUGAUAAAAUUUGUGAAGUGGAUAUAAACCUGAUAUGGAGUAAGGGCUCAGUACCUGUUAGCUAACAGUUCAUUAUUGCUGCUUUUGGGGGCAGGUGUUCCACCCACAGCACGCAUACACAC